rnacentral:lncRNA from 1 species
CUCUGUUAAUCCUAGCCGCUGCUUGUUUCGUCUCGCUAAUCUCACCGGCGAUUUCACAACAGACUUGCUCUACGCAGAACCUAAACUCCGCUGGUCCGUACGAUAGUUGCCUGGACCUUCCCGUACUCAAUUCCUACCUCCAUUACACAUACGAUUCCUCAAACUCGUCUCUCUCGGUUGCUUUCGUCGCCACUCCAUCUCAAACCAACAAUGGCUGGGUCGCUUGGGCUAUCAAUCCUACGGGGACUAAGAUGGCCGGUUCUCAGGCCUUCCUCGCUUACAGAUCUAACGGCGGUGCUGCUCCCGUCGUCAAGACGUACAACAUAAGCGGCUACAGUCUCGACGAAACCGCUACGAGACUUUCUUUCGAGUUCUGGAAUCUACGCGCCGAGUCGUUGAGCGGCGGCAGGAUCGCGAUUUUCACCACGGUUAAGGUCCCGGCGGGAGCCGAUAGUGUGAAUCAGGUGUGGCAGAUCGGCGGGAAUGUGACCAGCGGUCGUCCCGGAAUACAUCCGUUCACUCCUG